rnacentral:rRNA from 1 species
UGGGGAAUCUUGCCCAAUGGGCGAAAGCCUGAGGCAGCAACGCCGCGUGUGGGAUGACGGCCCUCGGGUUGUAAACCACUUUCAGUAGGGACGAAAUUGACGGUACCUACAGAAGAAGCUCCGGCCAACUACGUGCCAGCAGCCGCGGUAAUACGUAGGGAGCGAGCGUUGUCCGGAUUUAUUGGGCGUAAAGCGCGCGUAGGCGGUUUGGUAAGCCGGGUGUGAAACCCUCGAGCUCAACUCGGGGCGGCCACUCGGAACUGUCAUGACUCGAGUCAGGUAGGGGAACACGGAAUUCCAGGUGUAGCGGUGAAAUGCUUAGAUAUCUGGAGGAACACCAGUGGCGAAGGCGGUGUUCUGGGCCUGUACUGACACUGAUGCGCGAAAGCGUGGGGAGCGAACAGGAUUAGAUACC